CAGUCAGCUGCGUCUGGAUGCCCAUCUAGGCAGGACUCCUAGGAGAAGAUUGUUAGGGUGUGGGAAAAGCCAAAGGCAGAGAAGAUUUUGCAUCAUUUCCCAUAUGGGAUUCUACGAAGAGACAUUCAAAUAAAAUCAGUACACAACGCGGUUAGGCAGAGGGAGGGCUUGAAUUUCGCAUCCGGAAGGUUCCAUGUGCCCUGUGGAUGGAUAGAGAAAACAGCUGAUGGUGUUGAUGGGUGGCAUUAAUGGGAGUUGCUCUGGGAACGGUGAAGUGGCCACAGGGUGACCAGAGACGACCAUGGGCAAAGUGGGUGUGGCAGCCAGACCACAGGGGGAAACUGGGCACCGGAAAGAGCUGAGGUAGGGCUGGUCAGGUGGGAGGCACCCUGAGUGGACCGAGUGAACCGCCAGCUGUCUAGCUGUCCGCCAGUUGUAGACCCAGCAAGUGCGACCUGCUGGGACACGAGCAGGACAACAGGAGUAACAGAGGCCACCUCCCAGGAUUAUGAGGGUACAGCAGGAGCUGUGAGGGCGUGUGACAGAGGUCAGACGCUAGACACGGGAAUUCAGACCUCACCCUUUCUUCCAUCCUGCCGUCUCGCCACAGCCGCUGCUGUGAGCGAUGCCUAGAGCCGUGGGGAACUGGGUGGUGACUCAGGGACAGGAAAGAGACAAACAGGCCUCAUUUUAAUGCUUGUCCACAACCUGGACCUGGUUUUUUAAGGUGAGCCUCGCCUAACCAGCAGUCGGUGUUUAUUGAUAUGUAGUAAGUCAAUGACCAAAUGAAUGAGUGAUGAAGGCCUUUCCCAGGGACUUUGGGAGUCAUGGAAACCUUUCCGGCAAUACCCUCCUGUGAGAGGUUGAAGACGUGUGUAUUACAGGAGGAAGGAAACAGUUGCCUGCAGAUUUCUUUUUUUAGCCCAGCACCGAGGGGAUUCUAAGAGGGGACAGCCAGAGUUGGAGCACAGACGAAGGGCCACCAACUGGUGUCAUGUGAGGCUCUGGCCUGCUUUUGGCAGGAUCACCAAAACAGCAGAAGGGAGUCACUCUUCAGGCUCCGUUCAGAUGUCACCUCCUCCCGGAAGCCUUCCCGGAUAGCCGCCCGCCAGGUUGACAUGCCUACUCUGUGCUUCUCUCUACGGACCCCUUACCUAGAACAGUCUGCUCAUCGCGGUUCUCCCUUGAAGAGCGCCUGGCCUAAAUUCUUGAGGUUUGGGAACAGCACGGAAGCUCAGGGCGACGGGGCGGUCCGCCUGGGUGGUGGCUGGCCGGGUGGGUGGGGACGAAGACGGAACAAUGGAGAGCCGGCACAUGGUAGCAAUUGGCCUCUGUGCCUAGACCACCCGAGGAGCCGGGCCCCGUGGGCUCGGAGCAGGGAGCGUGAAGGGCGCCCGCUGUCGUUGCCGUCUGCGAACAGAUUUGGAACCGACGGGCGCAAGGCAGCCGGUGGCGGUAGGCGCCUGGAAGCUUCUGGCGGAAGGAAUCGGGCACAAAAAGCAGCGACCUCAAAACCCCAGCCACACAUCUGGACGUGUGCAGAGGGGAGCGGACGGGGGAUGCUGACGGUGACGUCUAAAUACCAGCCCGAAGGCCCAACAGGGAAGAAGAUUCCGCCCCCCCCCCGCCGCGCCUCCC